CCUUGCCAUGUAAACCCAAAACACACCCAUGAGAUAAAGUGGAAUUUUGCAUAGGAAGGGGAAAUCAAAAUAACUGAACUCUAUGAUCCACCAACAUGCUCCACUGCUAAAUAUUCAGUCUCUUAGGGUACUUUCUGGGCAUGUUCAGGUGGAAAAAUGUACUUGCACUUGCAUGUACAUGAAAUGGCAGGUUUAUGCUGAACCUUUGGUGUUCCAUCAAUGUGCCCCUCCAGGACAUUUAACAACCCCAAACAUAACUGGAAAAAACAGGAUGCUCAAACAUCUUAAGCUGCACCCAAGUGGGUAAAAGGAGUCCUAGCAUCUGAUUACUAUAUCUGGGAGAUGAAAGUAGUACUUUCAUUUUAGGCCAUUUUUGACCCAAGUGUGCGCCUACAGAGACACCAGUUUGAGAAAAUUUGAUGCAGCAGGUACAUGUUUUGAGUAAUUGGACUGCACAUGCUUUUGGAGAAAUAAAUGUAUGAGUUAAGAAGGUGUUGAAGGUGGCCUUACAGAACUGUUUGGCUCUGGACAUACUGUUAGUCAAAGAACAAUGUGUAUGUGGGGUGCUGAACAAUAGAGCUGAGAAUGCUGUGUUACUGGCAUGGAGGAAGCAUGCCCACCAGAAGAUUUGAUAAAUCACGUACAAACCAGGAGACCUGUUCCAGUCAAUGUUACCAGAUGAAUGGAAAAUGGAUUGGAACCUUGCCUCACGGAUCUUGACUCUGCUCAAAAAGCUCAGACUUCAGGGAUGGUGGAGUUGGAUAGUGGAAGCUCUGGUAAUGCUUUUGUUAAUAUUAAUCGGCCUAGUUAUCAGCUUUCUUAUAACAAGGUGCCUGAUUGACCACUUAUUCUCUCCUCUCUCUCCCUCACUACUGUGUGUUCAAAUCACCACUACUGAAGAGGACCUUGGAGUGUCUGAGCCAUGAGUAGUGUGGGGGAUGGCCUGAAGUGACUGCACUGGGAGCUGAGGUGGCCAUUGCCCCAGAAGCCAGAUGGGACAUGGGGAGGGGCCUGGUGUCACUCCUUUUGAUUUGCCCUAAAAGGUAUGGAAAAGUACUGGUGUCUCAGCCACUCCGAGAGCCGGGGCCAAGAAAUGGGGGCACUUACAGAUUUGCAGGGGAACUCAUUCUAUGCUCCUUACGCCUGUUGGCAGAUCCCACGCUGGAUCCAGGACUGGUGACCUUUCUCUCUUUCUCUCCUUUUCUCUCUCUUUCCUCUUUCUCUAUUUCUUCUUUCCUCAGAUCUAUCAAGUAAUGCUAGGCCUACCUUGUUUUCCCAUAAAGCUGCAUAGCUCAGUUGGAUAUAACUGUGUUGAGAGCACCAACAUUAACAGAACAUUUGUUCUCUGUGUUCUUAUGAAAGUUGAUGUUCACACAUGGACCUUGAGUGUUAUCUCACCGUAGUCCACAUGGAGGGGAGUUGUGAAUCUGAGUCACUCCUCCCACACCUUCGCAGGUGGGACAAUCAGCUGGCCAGGCCAGCCAGGCCUGAGCAAAGAGAGUUAUAAAUGAGAAAUAUGGAUGAAAGUGAACUUUGCCCUAUAAUAAAAUUCCGGUGUAUCAUUGUCUAUUCUGUGUACUCAGUUCACUGAAGCACCUGUAUUUUCAGCUUGUACCCGUUGCUGCUUGUCCUCUUGUCACGGGGCACCACUGAAAACCGUGGAUCUAGCCUCUUUGUGCCCUCCUUUCAGGUAUUUAGAGACAUGGGUAAGAUCCCCUCUGAGCCUCCUCUUCUCCAGGCUGAACAGUCCCAGCCCUCUCAGCCUUCCCUCACAAGACAGAUGGGAGUGCAUUUUUUCCCAGGCCUGGAGUCCUCUCCACUGAUUUCAUGCAGGCCCAGGCUGGGAGGCAGGACUGGAGGAGCCACUGCCUGCUGGGGUCUGAGCACUGGGGUAGGGGAGGCAGACGUGGCUCUGAUGUUCUCUGCCUGGGCCUGGGGCAGCCCUGGGCAGGGGACAAGGGGCUUGAUGGGGGCUAUGGCAGGAGCAGCAGGUGCCCAGGCCUCAGGGUGUGGUUCCUGUGCUGGGGACUCAUAUCAUCCUUCUUCCCCCACAGAGUGAGCAGAGGACCAUCUGGAGAAGCCCCAACACUUCUGGAAUUGGGUUUUGGAAGUGUUUGCUGCCAGAUCACUGUAUCUGUAAUGAAGCGCAGGGCCCCUGACAUGAGGAAGAAAGGUGAGAGUAAAGUGGUCCCAUAUCCCCCUUUGGCUGGGGGCUGGGCCAAGGGAGUUUCAGGAUGGUCUGUGUGUGCUCAGUGAUUGUGGCCUAUGCUCUUCCCUCUUCAGUGUGUGUGCUGUGCAACCGUGCUGAUGAAGACCCAGAUAUUUAUGGUCAAAAAAGUGAGAAUCGUGGUCUCUGCACUCAUGAGAAUUGCCUGUAUCUGGCCAGUGGGCUUUCUUCAAACCAAGCAAGAAGCAGUGAAGUGUACAACAUCCUCCCUGAGGAUAUCCAAAGGGUAGUGAAACAGGCAACCAGGAAGAUGUGCUAUGUCUGUGGCGAGAGGGGAGCCACCAUUACCUGCCAGCAGAAGAGGUGUAAACACAGCUUCCAUUACCCCUGAGGCUAUGAAAAUGGAUGCAUCUCCCAGUUCUUUGGGCAGUACAGGUAAAGGAUGAUGGUCCUCAUGCUGGGCCUACUCUGUCUCUGUCAUUCACCUCCUAGCACUGGCCAGGCAAACAAGGAACCUUCUUGUUAUGCCCUCUGGGACACCUUCAAGUGCCCUUCUUGAGCCAGAGCCAGGAUAUGGAGAGAUCAUAGAUGUCCCCUACGCUGCACUCUUUGUAUGGGAGCCAUGCAGGAUGGUCCACGUACAGCAAUGCCCUGCAAAUCCCUUGUUGUUAGCCCCCACAGAGAUGAUGAAGGGAAAUCCAUGGGGAGGGAACAGGGGCUUGCAUACAGUGCCCGCCAGCAGUUGGCCACUACAUCCAUUAUGGGUAAAAUUGUCGAGAACCAAGAAGGACUUGGCAGUUCCUGUCACUGCCUAUGUCUCCUUCUAUCUUCUACUCAGGUCCUUCUGCCAGGAGCACAGCCCAGCACAAACAGUGCUGGUGCAACAAGAUGGGGAAACCUCGUGCAUCAUUUGCCUGGAGCGUGCAGGAGACAAGCUCUCCUACCACACCAUGGUGUGCCCCAACUGCAGGCAGGCCUGGUUCCACCGGGGCUGCAUCCAGCAACAGGCUUUCCAUGCUGGGCUGCUUUGUUUCCGGUGCCCGCAGUGUAAUGACAGGGAGAAAUUCCUGCCAGAAAUGUUGUCCCUGGGGAUCCAAGUCCCCACCAGACAGCCAGCAUGGGAAGCAGACAGUGCUUCAUAGAUAUGUACCAAAGGCAUAGCCGCUGCAAUACCAGCUGGUGCCAUUAUGCCCAAGGAAGGGAGCAGGCAGAAGAAGAGGGGCCGUGGUACCUGCUGCUGUGCUCCUCCUGUGCUGCCGUGGGCACCCACCAACGCUGCUCUGCCUUGAAGGACAGCACAGUCACGUGGGAGUGUGACAGCUGUGCUGGCCUGGGCACUGCCUCCAGCAUGCAGUCGGAGCCAGCUUGUCCCAGCAGCACCAUCCUGCCAAUGUCAUCCCACAGCUCCCCAUCUCCUGAGACGUGUGGCCAGUCAGGUUGGCCAGGCCCAAGCAAAGAUCCGGCUGCUCACAGAUAAAGGAGAGGCAACAAACACCUGCGGGGAAGCCUGGUCCCAGUCCCGGUCCCAGCAUUUGCCCUGUCUCCUGUCCUGUACUCUUGACUUCCCCCUCCCUCCCGACCUGGGGUGCUGCCAUUUUGUACCUCCCAACCACCAUGCUCACAGCCUGCCCUGUAACUGGCCGGUAGCACCAACCGUCCCUUCAGGGUGCUGGGCAGUGCAGAAUAGGCCAUCCCUGCCCUCUGCAUGCCCACAGCAGCCAUUUCUGACAUACCCCAUGCGGGGUCGUGCUGUGCUGACACUGGCUGGCUGCUGUUGUUUGAAGCCAUCAUAGCCAGGUGACCCCUGAUCACCUUCUGCGUGGCUGUAAUUAUCUCUGCACCAGAAAGUGCCCCUACUUGUCAGAAUAUAUACAUCUUU